AUUGAACGCUGGCGGCAUGCCUUACACAUGCAAGUCGAACGGCAGCACGGGUGCUUGCACCUGGUGGCGAGUGGCGAACGGGUGAGUAAUACAUCGGAACGUACCUUAUCGUGGGGGAUAACGCAGCGAAAGCUGUGCUAAUACCGCAUACGCCCUGCGGGGGAAAGCGGGGGAUCGAAAGACCUCGCGCGAUUAGAGCGGCCGAUGCCUGAUUAGCUUGUUGGUGGGGUAAAAGCCCACCAAGGCGACGAUCAGUAGCUGGUCUGAGAGGACGAUCAGCCACACUGAGACUGAGACACGGCCCAUACUCCUACGGGAGGCAGCAGUGGGGAAUUUUGGACAAUGGGGGCAACCCUGAUCCAGCAAUGCCGCGUGAGUGAAGAAGGCCUUCGGGUUGUAAAGCUCUUUUGUCAGGGAAGAAACACCGGCUCUAACACAGUCCGGGAAUGACGGUACCUGAAGAAUAAGCACCGGCUAACUACGUGCCAGCCGCCGCGGUAA
rnacentral:rRNA from 1 species